rnacentral:rRNA from 1 species
AGCAGCCGCCGCGGGAAUACAGAGGGUGCGAGCGUUAAUCGGAUUUACUGGGCGUAAAGCGUGCGUAGGCGGCUAAUUGAGUCGGAUGUGAAAUCCCUGAGCUUAACUUAGGAAUUGCAUUCGAUACUGGGAAGCUAGAGUAUGGGAGAGGAUGGUAGAAUUCCAGGUGUAGCGGUGAAAUGCGUAGAGAUCUGGAGGAAUACCGAUGGCGAAGGCAGCCAUCUGGCCUAAUACUGACGCUGAGGUACGAAAGCAUGGGGAGCAAACAGGAUUAGAUACCCCCGUAGUCCCUGUCUCUUAUAC